AGUGUUGUGGCUCAGUGGUAGAGCACUUGCCUAGCAUGUGUGAGGCACUGGGUUCAAUUCUCAGCACCACAU
rnacentral:tRNA from 1 species